GCUGGUUUGCCCGAGAGGUUAAGGGGGAAGACUUAAGAUCUUCUGCAUAUAAAAUGCGCAUGGGUUCGAACCCCAUAGCCAGCA
rnacentral:tRNA from 1 species